GUUGCCAUCAGGUAAUGCUGGGGACUCUAAAGGAACGUGCCUACGCAAGUAGUGAGGAAGGCGGGGAGUGACGUCAAAUCAGCACGGCCCUUACGUCCAGGGCUACACACGUGCUACAAUGGCCGAUACAGAGGGCAGCUACCUGGUGACAGGAUGCAAAUCUCCAAAGUCGGUCUCAGCUCGGAUCGGAGUCUGCAACCCGACUCCGUGAAGUUGGAUUCGCUAGUAAUCGCGCAUCAGCCAUGGCGCGGUGAAUACGUUCCCGGGCCUU
rnacentral:rRNA from 1 species